rnacentral:tRNA from 1 species
GGGGCCGUAGCUCAGUUGGGAGAGCGUCGCGUUCGCAAUGCGAAGGUCGGGGGAGUUCGAGCCUCCCCGGCUCCACCA